UCAAAGCGGCAAUGAAAAACAAAAACAAAAUUAUUUGACUGAAUUUGCAUUUUAUUGAUUUGAAAAUGGGUGGCUCAAGUUGAGCAAUACAAAGGAAGCAAUUCCUGAAAAGAGGUAAUUGCGCACAAAAGGAAAAACCUAUCCUAAUGGCAAUGUGAAACCCGUGAUCUCAUCGAGUUCCAACUCGGUUACACCCCAUAUGUCCUCAGACUCUCCAUGCUUU
rnacentral:lncRNA from 1 species